GUGGAUGAUCAAGUUGUAUAGGGUACGCGGCGGAGCAUAUGGAGAUAAUAUGAAGACCCUCCUAGACCAACUUGAUAAUCAGACCUCUGAUGUGCUUGCUCAUAGAAAGGCUACAGCUCUCAAAGGUCUACCUUUGUUUAUGAGGGAAAAGUCUGAACAUUUCCUGAGGACUUGCCUGGACACAGAGCCAGAAGAAAAUCAUACAAAAGGGAAUAAAGAUGGGGAUCUUAACCAUCGUUGAAGAUGACGUUGCGACCAUCCACUCAAACCCAAAUGUAAGGUGCCUGUCUGUGGUUCUAGAGGAGCAUAUCGUGCUGGAUAAUGUGCAAGACCUUCCAACUGCUAUGGCUCUUCUCUUUGGCUUGAUUUAUGCCCUGAACAUGAACUAUCCUAAAGAACUCAAGUACACCUUUGAAAUGAUUCAAAAGGUGUUUAUUGGUCUUGACCCCCAGUGCUCAGCAAGAGUCCAGUCCUUCAAAAACAAACUGUUAAUGUCUAAAUAGCUGGAUACGGAUAAGGGAAAGCACUAAGCUGUUCCUGUUGUUCCAUCUGAUGUUUCCGUAAAAGUUCAACAUGUCAAAAGAGGAAAUAUUUUCAAUUUUAAUGUAAUGAACCUU